rnacentral:rRNA from 1 species
UUUGGAAGAAAUUUGAUCCUGGCUCAGAUUGAACGCUGGCGGCAGGCCUAACACAUGCAAGUCGAACGGUAACAGGAAUAAGCUUGCUGCUUUGCUGACGAGUGGCGGACGGGUGAGUAAUGUCUGGGAAACUGCCUGAUGGAGGGGGAUAACUACUGGAAACGGUAGCUAAUACCGCAUAACGUCGCAAGACCAAAGAGGGGGACCUUCGGGCCUCUUGCCAUCGGAUGUGCCCAGAUGGGAUUAGCUAGUAGGUGGGGUAAAGGCUCACCUAGGCGACGAUCCCUAGCUGGUCUGAGAGGAUGACCAGCCACACUGGAACUGAGACACGGUCCAGACUCCUACGGGAGGCAGCAGUGGGGAAUAUUGCACAAUGGGCGCAAGCCUGAUGCAGCCAUGCCGCGUGUAUGAAGAAGGCCUUCGGGUUGUAAAGUACUUUCAGCGGGGAGGAAGGGAGUAAAGUUAAUACCUUUGCUCAU